rnacentral:misc_RNA from 1 species
AAAACUCCUUCAUCAAGACAAGGAUAUUUCAAGGCUUGCAGGAAAGUACUCGAUAUGGGUGAUUCCUCAAUUGUUUGCCUGUGCCAUAUAUUAUCCAAUACAAAAGUUUCUCCAAGCACAGAAUCUCAGCUACACUUGCAAGGCAAUCCAUAUUUAGAUUCAGCAACUCGAAAAUGCAAACUAGAACCCCCCCAAAAAAAGGAGGCAGCUUUGAUUGCCCUUCUGCUGUAUAUCCAAGAAAAAAAAUAUCGAUAUAAACUGCAACCCGAUGUUGAUUUUAUCAAGUUUUUUUACACAAUGAAUUCAUCACCCAUUCAUGUUGUUUUCUGAUGAACUUUGCUGUGGUUCAUCAGAGCCACCCCAAGUUUUGAUGUGCUCUUCAGCUUUCACAGCUUCUUUGUGCCAGUUAGUUUGUAGUAAGAUGAAAAUCAGAGUGACUAUUUGAAGCAGAUAACCAGCCAACAUUCCAGUCCAUAUGCCCUUAACUCCUAGCUUUAACUUGUAUCCAAGCACAGCACCAAUAGGAAGUCCUAUGAUGUAGUAACACCCAAUAUUGACGAAGGCAACUAAGAAUUGCCAGCCUGCACCCACUGCCACCCCAUGCAUGGAUUGGACUCAUCACUGGUGCUAAUGGAGACUGGAGAGUUUAGCUGCAAUUACCAUGGAGCACAGGUUGGAUGCUGUUGAGGAAGAUUGUUGCUGCCAAAAAGUAACCAAGCUUUGAUGCCUCCUUCAUGACUGCUG